AACUGAGGAAACGAUGGCUUACCUUCAUUCUCAUUAUCUUGUUUAGUUUUGGGGUAAUAUUCCGUGAUUGGAGUUUGUAGCAAAUCAACAAAGUAAUUACAUUUUAAAGCAUCAAAACUACAAAAGGUAUUUGAUUAGGUAGAAAGCAGGAAUACAUUUCAUUCAAACUAUCUAAAAACAAAAAAUAAUAGUUUUUCUAAAAGCAUUUUCUUUACAUUAUAAUAGAAGGAAGUUUCAGUCAUGGGUGAUCAGAAGAUCCCCACCUUGCCCACUCCUGUAUUGAAGUGUCCUUGGGCAAGAAACUAAACCCCACAUUGCUCCUGGUGGUUAUUGGUUGUCGCCACUGUUUGGCAGUGCAGCUGUCAUCAGAGUGUGGAUGAAAUUGUGAAUUUAUAGCACAUUGGGCUUUAUAGGGAGGAAGCAAAACACAAAAUAUGAAAAAGCAAUUUACCCUGAGAGUUGUGGACGUGGCGAACGGCAUAGUGGUUCUUUUUAAAUUUUGUGGCCAAAAUAAUACUUCUAAACAUUUUUACUUAAAUGAAUAAUGUUUAACAUUUGGAUGUAAUGCUUAUGUAUAAAAUGUAGAGUUCCAAAUUAUUUUCUUUUAUUAAACAUACUUGUGUUUAAAAUGAAUACUUUUAUUUAUUAAUUUCAGAUUUAGAUAGAAAUUCAUAAUGGAAACCUAGAAACAAAUUUGCAAUUUGACUUUUAAAUUCAACCAAUAACAUUCAGUUUACAAACCUUUAUUUAUACAAUGUGUUACUUUCACAUAACUGCUCAGUAUUUUUAAUAUGCAAAUCUACAAUUACAGAUAUGAUGUGGAAACAGUAUAGAUUUAGAUUUCCAUUGUCUCUUAUAUUUUUAUAUUAAUAUGUUUUUUGGUAUUAAAGGUCAAAAAUUCAGAUUCAGCAUUGACAUCAGUAAUUUUCUGAUUAAUACAACAGCUUUGUUUAACUACCUUGUUGACUGGCAGUUUUGUAGAGUGACAGAAAACCACAGAACUGCUUCCGCAAUUCUUAUCAAAAGCAAGCCACAAAAAAAAAAAAAAAAAAAAGACACACAAGCCAUCCCACUGUCUGUAGCAUUCAGUCUUGUCAGUCAACGAACAAAGAAUCUUCACUCUGUGUUAAGAAGGUGAACAACUGUCUCAUUUCGGCUUUCACUCAGUACGUCUUUGGCUCCUUUCACCCAAGAAAUUCAGCCUAAUUGUGAGUAUAAAGACACAUAUGUUUAAUUUCCUAAAUUAAUGAAUCACAUAUAUGGUUUACAUGUUGAUAUGUAUUUUUUUUUUAGUCAGAAUGAUUCUCGUCUCUUUGAUCACAGCAUCUCUGCUAGCAGGAUCUUUUGGAAAAGGUUUUACAGAGUGCAGCUUUAGUGAAUAUGAACAAACCUCAUGUUUAGCUGCGGCUGGAAAAUUUAUUUUUUUUAACCUGAUGAGCAAAGACUUUGAGGACUUGAAGCUCCUAAAGGAUGGCAAGUUUAGAAUCUUUAGGACAGUAAAUGAAUCAGUAAUAAUUGAUACUCCCUAUACAAACAAAGUCAUUUUUUUAAAAAAUGGAACAAUCAAACUGAACAACGUUUCAAAGAAAGAUGCUGGAAAUUACAUGCUUGAGGAGUUCAACUACAACGGGAAACGACUGAGAAAUUGCAGUAUCAAUCUUAAAGUAUUUGCUCCCGUGUCUGUGUUAACGGUGUCUCAGCAGUGUUUGUCACCAGAACAGAAGAAAGUCACAUGUUUGUUUGAGGGCGAUGAAGCAGAACUCUCUCUGACUUUGAAUGAUCACUUACUUUUACGAUCAAACAAAUACAGUCAGUUUCUGAACAACGAUACAUCUGAAAGAUCCAGAGUGUUUAAUGUUUCUGUCAUCAUACAUGUACAACUCCUUGGAAACAUCACAUGCAAAGUCUGGAACAACGUCAGCAGAAAUGAGAUGGAUAUUAACCUCACUGCUUGCAGU